GAUGAACGCUGGCGGCGUGCCUAAUACAUGCAAGUCGAGCGAACGGACGAGAAGCUUGCUUCUCUGAUGUUAGCGGCGGACGGGUGAGUAACACGUGGAUAACCUACCUAUAAGACUGGGAUAACUUCGGGAAACCGGAGCUAAUACCGGAUAAUAUUUUGAACCGCAUGGUUCACAAGUGAAAGACGGUCUUGCUGUCACUUAUAGAUGGAUCCGCGCUGCAUUAGCUAGUUGGUAAGGUAACGGCUUACCAAGGCAACGAUGCAUAGCCGACCUGAGAGGGUAAUCGGCCACACUGAAACUGAGACGGGGUCCGGACUCCUACGGGAGGAGCCAGUAGGGGAUCUUCCGCAAUGGGAGAAAGCCUGACGGAGCAACACCGAGUGAGUGAGGAGGGUCUUCGGAUCUGAAAACGCUGUAAUUAGGGAGGAAAAUAUGUGUAAGUAACUGUGCACAUCUUAACGUUGCGUAAUCGGAAAGCCACGGCUAACUGCGGG
rnacentral:rRNA from 1 species